rnacentral:tRNA from 1 species
GCCUUCGUGGUGUAGUGGUCAGCACGCUCGACGCGUAACCAAGAGGCUCGUGUUCAAUCCCGGCGAAGGCG